GUCAGUGGGGUUAUCAUAGUGAUAUAGGGAGAGUCAGUGAGGUUAUCAUAGUGGUAUAGGGAGAGUCAGUGAGGUUAUCAUAGUGAUAUAGGGAGAGUCAGUGAGGUUACCAUAGUGAUAUAGGGAGAGUCAGUGGGGUUACCAUAGUGAUAUAGUGAGGGAGAGUCAGUGAGGUUAUCAUAGUGAUAUAGGGAGGGAGAGUCAGUGAGGUUAACAUAGUGAUAUAGGGAGAGUCAGUGAGGUUAUCAUAGUGAUAUAGGGAGAGUCAGUGAGGUUACCACAGUGAUAUAGGGAGAGUCAGUGAGGUUAUCAUAGUGGUAUAGUGAGGGAGAGUCAGUGAGGUUAACAUAGUGAUAUAGGGAGAGUCAGUGAGGUUAACAUAGUGAUAUAGGGAGAGUCAGUGAGGUUAUCAUAGUGAUAUAGGGAGAGUCAGUGAGGUUACCACAGUGAUAUAGGGAGAGUCAGUGAGGUUAUCAUAGUGGUAUAGUGAGGGAGAGUCAGUGAGGUUAUCAUAGUGAUAUAGGGAGAGUCAGUGAGGUUAUCAUAGUGAUAUAGGGAGAGUCAGUGAGGUUACCAUAGUGAUAUAGGGAGAGUCAGUGAGGUUAUCAUAGUGAUAUAGGGAGAGUCAGUGAGGUUAUCAUAGUGGUAUAGUGAGGGAGAGUCAGUGGGGUUAUCAUAGUGGUAUAGUGAGGGAGAGUCAGUGAGGUUACCAUAGUGAUAUAGUGAGGGAGAGUCAGUGAGGUUACCAUAGUGGUAUAGUGAGGGAGAGUCAGUGAGGUUAUCAUAGUGGUUUAGUGAGGGAGAGUCAGUGAGGUUACCAUAGUGAUAUAGGGAGAGUCAGUGAGGUUACCAUAGUGAUAUAGUGAGGGAGAGUCAGUGAGGUUAUCAUAGUGAUAUAGGGAGAGUCAGUGAAUUUAUCAUAGUGAUAUAGGGAGAGUCAGUGAGGUUAUCAUAGUGAUAUAGUGAGGAAGAGUCAGUGAGGUUACCAUAGUGAUAUAGUGAGGGAGAGUCAGUGAGGUUAUCAUUGUGAUAUAGGGAGGGAGAGUCAGUGAGGUUACCAUAGUGAUAUAGGGAGAGUCAGUGAGGUUAUCAUAGUGGUAUAGUGAGGGAGAGUCAGUGAGGUUAUCAUAGUGAUAUAGGGAGAGUCAGUGAGGUUAUCAUAGUGAUAUAGGGAGAGUCAGUGAGGUUACCAUAGUGAUAUAGGGAGAGUCAGUGAGGUUAUCAUAGUGAUAUAGGGAGAGUCAGUGAGGUUAUCAUAGUGAUAUAGUGAGAGUCAGUGGGGUUAUCAUAGUGGUAUAGUGAGGGAGAGUCAGUGAGGUUACCAUAGUGAUAUAGUGAGGGAGAGUCAGUGAGGUUACCAUAGUGGUAUAGUGAGGGAGAGUCAGUGAGGUUAUCAUAGUGGUUUAGUGAGGGAGAGUCAGUGAGGUUACCAUAGUGAUAUAGGGAGAGUCAGUGAGGUUACCAUAGUGAUAUAGUGAGGGAGAGUCAGUGAGGUUAUCAUAGUGAUAUAGGGAGAGUCAGUGAAUUUAUCAUAGUGAUAUAGGGAGAGUCAGUGAGGUUAUCAUAGUGAUAUAGUGAGGAAGAGUCAGUGAGGUUACCAUAGUGAUAUAGUGAGGGAGAGUCAGUGAGGUUAUCAUUGUGAUAUAGGGAGGGAGAGUCAGUGAGGUUACCAUAGUGAUAUAGGGAGAGUCAGUGAGGUUAUCAUAGUGGUAUAGUGAGGGAGAGUCAGUGAGGUUAUCAUAGUGAUAUAGGGAGAGUCAGUGAGGUUACCAUAGUGAUAUAGGGAGAGUCAGUGAGGUUAUCAUAGUGAUAUAGGGAGAGUCAGUGAGGUUAUCAUAGUGAUAUAGGGAGAGUCAGUGAGGUUAUCAUAGUGAUAUAGUGAGAGUCAGUGGGGUUAUCAUAGUGGUAUAGUGAGGGAGAGUCAGUGAGGUUACCAUAGUGAUAUAGUGAGGGAGAGUCAGUGAGGUUACCAUAGUGGUAUAGUGAGGGAGAGUCAGUGAGGUUAUCAUAGUGGUUUAGUGAGGGAGAGUCAGUGAGGUUACCAUAGUGAUAUAGUGAGGGAGAGUCAGUGAGGUUAUCAUAGUGAUAUAGGGAGAGUCAGUGAAGUUAUCAUAGUGAUAUAGGGAGAGUCAGUGAGGUUACCAUAGUGAUAUAGGGAGAGUCAGUGAGGUUAUCAUAGUGAUAUAGGGAGAGUCAGUGAGGUUACCAUAGUGAUAUAGGGAGAGUCAGUGAAGUUAUCAUAGUGAUAUAGGGAGAGUCAGUGAGGUUAUCAUAGUGAUAUAGGGAGGGAGAGUCAGUGAGGUUACCAUAGUGAUAUAGUGAGGGAGAGUCAGUGAGGUUAUCAUAGUGAUAUAGGGAGGGAGAGUCAGUGAGGUUACCAUAGUGAUAUAGGGAGAGUCAGUGAGGUUACCAUAGUGAUAUAGGGAGGGAGAGUCAGUGAGGUUACCACAGUGAUAUAGUGAGAGUCAGUGGGGUUACCAUAGUGAUAUAGGGAGAGUCAGUGAGGUUAUCAUAGUGAUAUAGUGAGGGAGAGUCAGUGAGGUUAUCAUAGUGAUAUAGUGAGGGAGAGUCAGUGAGGUUAUCAUAGUGAUAUAGGGAGGGAGAGUCAGUGAGGUUAUCAUAGUGAUAUAGGGAGAGUCAGUGAGGUUAUCAUAGUGAUAUAGGGAGAGUCAGUGAGGUUAUCAUAGUGAUAAAGGGAGAGUCAGUGAGGUUAUCAUAGUGAUAUAGGGAGAGUCAGUGAGGUUAUCAUAGUGAUAAAGGGAGAGUCAGUGAGGUUAUCAUAGUGAUAAAGGGAGAGUCAGUGAAGUUAUCAUAGUGAUAUAGGGAGUCAGUGAAGUUACCAUAGUGAUAUAGGGAGAGUCAGUGAGGUUAUCAUAGUGAUAUAGGGAGAGUCAGUGAGGUUAUCAUAGUGAUAUAGGGAGAGUCAGUGGGGUUAUCAUAGUGGUAUAGUGAGGGAGAGUCAGUGAGGUUAUCAUAGUGAUAUAGGGAGGGAGAGUCAGUGAGGUUAUCAUAGUGAUAAAGGGAGAGUCAGUGAGGUUAUCAUAGUGAUAAAGGGAGAGUCAGUGAGGUUAUCAUAGUGAUAAAGGGAGAGUCAGUGAAGUUAUCAUAGUGAUAUAGGGAGAGUCAGUGAAGUUACCAUAGUGAUAUAGGGAGAGUCAGUGAGGUUAUCAUAGUGAUAUAGGGAGAGUCAGUGAGGUUAUCAUAGUGAUAUAGGGAGAGUCAGUGAAGUUAUCAUAGUGAUAUAGGGAGAGUCAGUGAGGUUACCAUAGUGAUAUAGGGAGAGUCAGUGAGGUUAUCAUAGUGAUAUAGGGAGAGUCAGUGAGGUUACCAUAGUGAUAUAGGGAGAGUCAGUGAAGUUAUCAUAGUGAUAUAGGGAGAGUCAGUGAGGUUAUCAUAGUGAUAUAGGGAGGGAGAGUCAGUGAGGUUACCAUAGUGAUAUAGUGAGGGAGAGUCAGUGAGGUUAUCAUAGUGAUAUAGGGAGGGAGAGUCAGUGAGGUUACCAUAGUGAUAUAGGGAGAGUCAGUGAGGUUACCAUAGUGAUAUAGGGAGGGAGAGUCAGUGAGGUUACCACAGUGAUAUAGUGAGAGUCAGUGGGGUUACCAUAGUGAUAUAGGGAGAGUCAGUGAGGUUAUCAUAGUGAUAUAGUGAGGGAGAGUCAGUGAGGUUAUCAUAGUGAUAUAGUGAGGGAGAGUCAGUGAGGUUAUCAUAGUGAUAUAGGGAGGGAGAGUCAGUGAGGUUAUCAUAGUGAUAUAGGGAGGGAGAGUCAGUGAGGUUAUCAUAGUGAUAUAGGGAGAGUCAGUGAGGUUAUCAUAGUGAUAUAGGGAGAGUCAGUGAGGUUAUCAUAGUGAUAAAGGGAGAGUCAGUGAGGUUAUCAUAGUGAUAUAGGGAGAGUCAGUGAGGUUAUCAUAGUGAUAAAGGGAGAGUCAGUGAGGUUAUCAUAGUGAUAAAGGGAGAGUCAGUGAAGUUAUCAUAGUGAUAUAGGGAGUCAGUGAAGUUACCAUAGUGACAUAGUGAGGGAGAGUCAGUGAGGUUACCAUAGUGAUAUAGUGAGGGAGAGUCAGUGAGGUUAUCAUAGUGAUAUAGGGAGAGUCAGUGAAGUUAUCAUAGUGAUAUAGGGAGAGUCAGUGAGGUUAUCAUAGUGAUAUAGGGAGAGUCAGUGAAGUUACCAUAGUGAUAUAGGGAGAGUCAGUGAGGUUAUCAUAGUGAUAUAGGGAGAGUCAGUGAGGUUAUCAUAGUGAUAUAGGGAGAGUCAGUGGGGUUAUCAUAGUGGUAUAGUGAGGGAGAGUCAGUGAGGUUAUCAUAGUGAUAUAGGGAGGGAGAGUCAGUGAGGUUAUCAUAGUGAUAAAGGGAGAGUCAGUGAGGUUAUCAUAGUGAUAAAGGGAGAGUCAGUGAGGUUAUCAUAGUGAUAAAGGGAGAGUCAGUGAAGUUAUCAUAGUGAUAUAGGGAGAGUCAGUGAAGUUACCAUAGUGAUAUAGGGAGAGUCAGUGAGGUUAUCAUAGUGAUAUAGGGAGAGUCAGUGAGGUUAUCAUAGUGAUAUAGGGAGAGUCAGUGAAGUUAUCAUAGUGAUAUAGGGAGAGUCAGUGAGGUUACCAUAGUGAUAUAGGGAGAGUCAGUGAGGUUAUCAUAGUGAUAUAGGGAGAGUCAGUGAGGUUACCAUAGUGAUAUAGGGAGAGUCAGUGAAGUUAUCAUAGUGAUAUAGGGAGAGUCAGUGAGGUUAUCAUAGUGAUAUAGGGAGGGAGAGUCAGUGAGGUUACCAUAGUGAUAUAGUGAGGGAGAGUCAGUGAGGUUAUCAUAGUGAUAUAGGGAGGGAGAGUCAGUGAGGUUACCAUAGUGAUAUAGGGAGAGUCAGUGAGGUUACCAUAGUGAUAUAGGGAGGGAGAGUCAGUGAGGUUACCACAGUGAUAUAGUGAGAGUCAGUGGGGUUACCAUAGUGAUAUAGGGAGAGUCAGUGAGGUUAUCAUAGUGAUAUAGUGAGGGAGAGUCAGUGAGGUUACCAUAGUGAUAUAGGGAGAGUCAGUGAGGUUAUCAUAGUGAUAUAGGGAGAGUCAGUGAGGUUACCAUAGUGAUAUAGGGAGAGUCAGUGAGGUUAUCAUAGUGAUAUAGGGAGAGUCAGUGAGGUUAUCAUAGUGAUAUAGUGAGAGUCAGUGGGGUUAUCAUAGUGGUAUAGUGAGGGAGAGUUAGUGAGGUUACCAUAGUGAUAUAGUGAGGGAGAGUCAGUGAGGUUACCAUAGUGACAUAGUGAGGGAGAGUCAGUGAGGUUACCAUAGUGAUAUAGUGAGGGAGAGUCAGUGAGGUUAUCAUAGUGAUAUAGGGAGGGAGAGUCAGUGAGGUUAUCAUUGUGAUAUAGGGAGGGAGAGUCAGUGAGGUUACCAUAGUGAUAUAGGGAGAGUCAGUGAGGUUAUCAUAGUGGUAUAGUGAGGGAGAGUCAGUGAGGUUAACAUAGUGAUAUAGGGAGAGUCAGUGAGGUUAACAUAGUGAUAUAGGGAGAGUCAGUGAGGUUAUCAUAGUGAUAUAGGGAGAGUCAGUGAGGUUACCACAGUGAUAUAGGGAGAGUCAGUGAGGUUAUCAUAGUGGUAUAGUGAGGGAGAGUCAGUGAGGUUAACAUAGUGAUAUAGGGAGAGUCAGUGAGGUUAACAUAGUGAUAUAGGGAGAGUCAGUGAGGUUAUCAUAGUGAUAUAGGGAGAGUCAGUGAGGUUACCACAGUGAUAUAGGGAGAGUCAGUGAGGUUAUCAUAGUGGUAUAGUGAGGGAGAGUCAGUGAGGUUAACAUAGUGAUAUAGGGAGAGUCAGUGAGGUUAACAUAGUGAUAUAGGGAGAGUCAGUGAGGUUAUCAUAGUGAUAUAGGGAGAGUCAGUGAGGUUACCACAGUGAUAUAGGGAGAGUCAGUGAGGUUAUCAUAGUGGUAUAGUGAGGGAGAGUCAGUGAGGUUAACAUAGUGAUAUAGGGAGAGUCAGUGAGGUUAACAUAGUGAUAUAGGGAGAGUCAGUGAGGUUACCAUAGUGAUAUAGGGAGAGUCAGUGAGGUUAUCAUAGUGAUAUAGUGAGGGAGAGUCAGUGAGGUUAUCAUAGUGAUAUAGGGAGAGUCAGUGAGGUUAUCAUAGUGAUAUAGGGAGAGUCAGUGAGGUUAUCAUAGUGAUAAAGGGAGAGUCAGUGAGGUUAUCAUAGUGAUAUAGGGAGAGUCAGUGAGGUUAUCAUAGUGAUAAAGGGAGAGUCAGUGAGGUUAUCAUAGUGAUAU